rnacentral:rRNA from 1 species
AUACGUAGGGUGCGAGCGUUAAUCGGAAUUACUGGGCGUAAAGCGUGCGCAGGUGGUUUUGUAAGUCAGAUGUGAAAUCCCCGGGCUUAACCUGGGAACUGCGUUUGAAACUGCAAGGCUAGAGUGUGGCAGAGGGGGGUGGAAUUCCGCGUGUAGCAGUGAAAUGCGUAGAUAUGUGGAGGAACACCAAUGGCGAAGGCAGCCCCCUGGGUCAACACUGACGCUCAGGCACGAAAGCAUGGGGAGCAAACAGGAUUAGAAACCCCGGUAGUCC